UCAAGCGAAUAAGCGCACACGGUGGAUGCCUAGGCGGUCAGAGGCGAUGAAGGACGUGGUAGCCUGCGAAAAGUGUCGGGGAGCUGGCAACAAGCUUUGAUCCGGCAAUAUCCGAAUGGGGAAACCCACUGCUUCGGCAGUAUCCUGCAGUGAAUUCAUAGCUGCUGGAAGCGAACCCGGUGAACUGAAAUAUCUAAGUAACCGGAGGAAAAGAAAUCAACCGAGAUUCCCUAAGUAGUGACGAGCGAACGGGGAGCAGCCCUUAAGCUGGAAUGGCUUUAGAAAAACAAUCUGGAAAGAUUGGCCAUAGAAGGUGAUAGCCCUGUAUUUAAAAGGGCCACUCCAGUGAAGACGAGUAGGGCGGGGCACGUGAAACCCUGUCUGAAUAUGGGGGGACCAUCCUCCAAGGCUAAAUACUCCUGACCGACCGAUAGUGAACCAGUACCGUGAGGGAAAGGCGAAAAGAACCCCGGAGAGGGGAGUGAAAUAGAUCCUGAAACCGUGUGCGUACAAGCAGUAGGAGCUCGCAAGAGUGACUGCGUACCUUUUGUAUAAUGGGUCAGCGACUUACUGUUCGUGGCAAGCUUAACCGUAUAGGGGAGGCGAAGGGAAACCGAGUCUGAUAAGGGCGCAUAGUCGCGGGCAGUAGACCCGAAACCGGGUGAUCUAGUCAUGGCCAGGGUGAAGGUGCCGUAACAGGUACUGGAGGCCCGAACCCACGUCUGUUGCAAAAGACGGGGAUGAGCUGUGAUUAGGAGUGAAAAGCUAAUCGAACCCGGAGAUAGCUGGUUCUCCUCGAAAGCUAUUUAGGUAGCGCCUCGGACGAAUACUACUGGGGGUAGAGCACUGUUAUGGCUAGGGGGUCAUCGCGACUUACCAAACCAUUGCAAACUCCGAAUACCAGUACGUACUAUCCGGGAGACACACGGCGGGUGCUAACGUCCGUCGUGAAAAGGGAAACAACCCAGACCCACAGCUAAGGUCCCAAAUUCACUGCUAAGUGGAAAACGAUGUGGAAAGGCAUAGACAGCCAGGAGGUUGGCUUAGAAGCAGCCACCCUUUAAAGAAAGCGUAAUAGCUCACUGGUCGAGUCGGUCUGCGCGGAAGAUUUAACGGGGCUAAGCAGUGAACCGAAGCUUGGGGUGCAUAAAACUUGUUUUAUGCGCGGUAGAGGAGCGUUCCGUAAGCCUGCGAAGGUGGAUUGAGAAGUCUGCUGGAGGUAUCGGAAGUGCGAAUGCUGACAUGAGUAACGAUAAUGCGGGUGAAAAGCCCGCACGCCGAAAGCCCAAGGUUUCCUUGCGCAACGUUAAUCGACGCAGGGUUAGUCGGUCCCUAAGGCGAGGGCGAAAGCCGUAGUCGAUGGGAAGCAGGUUAAUAUUCCUGCACCUCGCGUGAGUGCGAUGGAGGGACGGAGAAGGUUAGGUGUACCGGGCGUUGGUUGUCCCGGGGAAAGGCGGUAGGUUUGGAUCUUUGGCAAAUCCGGGAUCCUUUAAGACCGAGCACCGAGACGAGCUUUAUGGCGAAGUCACUGAUACCACGCUUCCAGGAAAAGCUCCUAAGCUUCAGCUCACGAAGACCGUACCGUAAACCGACACAGGUGGGUAGGAUGAGAAUUCUCAGGCGCUUGAGAGAACUCGGGUGAAGGAACUAGGCAACAUGGCACCGUAACUUCGGGAGAAGGUGCACCCUUUUUGGUGGCUCAUGCGAGCUAUAGCUGAAGAGGGUCGCAGAAACCAGGCCGCUGCGACUGUUUAUCAAAAACACAGCACUCUGCAAACACGAAAGUGGACGUAUAGGGUGUGACGCCUGCCCGGUGCUGGAAGGUUAAUUGAUGGGGUCAGCCGCAAGGCGAAGCUCUUGAUCGAAGCCCCAGUAAACGGCGGCCGUAACUAUAACGGUCCUAAGGUAGCGAAAUUCCUUGUCGGGUAAGUUCCGACCUGCACGAAUGGCGUAACGACAGCGGCGCUGUCUCCACCCGAGACUCAGUGAAAUUGAAAUCGCUGUGAAGAUGCAGCGUUCCCGUGGCAAGACGGAAAGACCCCGUGAACCUUUACUAUAGCUUUACACUGAACGUUGAGUUCGUCUGUGUAGGAUAGGUGGGAGGCUAUGAAACUGUGGCGCUAGCUGCAGUGGAGCCAUCCUUGAAAUACCACCCUGUCGUGCUUGACGUUCUAACCUAGAUCCGUUAUCCGGAUCAGGGACCGUGUAUGGUGGGUAGUUUGACUGGGGCGGUCUCCUCCUAAAGAGUAACGGAGGAGCACGAAGGUACGCUCAGCGCGGUCGGACAUCGCGCACUGUGUGCAAAGGCAUAAGCGUGCUUGACUGCAAGAUCGACGGAUCAAGCAGGUACGAAAGUAGGUCUUAGUGAUCCGGUGGUUCUGUAUGGAAGGGCCAUCGCUCAACGGAUAAAAGGUACUCCGGGGAUAACAGGCUGAUACCGCCCAAGAGUUCAUAUCGACGGCGGUGUUUGGCACCUCGAUGUCGGCUCAUCACAUCCUGGGGCUGUAGUCGGUCCCAAGGGUAUGGCUGUUCGCCAUUUAAAGUGGUACGCGAGCUGGGUUCAGAACGUCGUGAGACAGUUCGGUCCCUAUCUGCCAUGGGCGUUGGAAGUUUGAGAGGGGCUGCUCCUAGUACGAGAGGACCGGAGUGGACGAACCUCUGGUGUUCCGGUUGUCACGCCAGUGGCAUUGCCGGGUAGCUAUGUUCGGAAGCGAUAACCGCUGAAAGCAUCUAAGCGGGAAGCGCGCCUCAAGAUGAGACUUCCCGGGGCACAAGCCCCCUAAAGGAACCAUAUAGACUAUGUGGUUGAUAGGUCAGGUGUGUAAGUACAGCAAUGUAUUGAGCUAACUGAUACUAAUGAUCCGUGCGGCUUGACCAU
rnacentral:rRNA from 1 species